CAGAAGAGGGUGUGAAUACUUUGGAGGCACAAGGUAGUAGUGAAUUAGAGAUGAAACUGGAAAUACUGGAAAGGAUCAGUUACGUUAUUGUAUUGAGUUCUUAAAUUGUGUUUUCAUUCGCAGAUUCAGCAACAAAAAUGUGCAAAGGCCUAUACUUUUGGCAACAUUCUCUAAUGAGACGUUUUUGCUGCAGGAUAGAGCAAAACCAGGGGAUAAGGCAAAAUCUGAAAGUAUGUCACACGGUCUGGAGUUCUGUCUGGCUCGAGAGCGACUUUGAACAGGUCAUGGAUAUCUCAAAGCAGUUUUGAUGGCUUGGACUACAUGGUUGGAAGAGCCUGGUCGGUUGGUGUUCCUUGUAAAAAUGGAUAGCAGGGUGGUGGCGAAAGUCUGUCCUGCUAGUUGAUGGUGUGGAGACCAUUGUUGGGCAUGGCUGCGGGUGGCUCCAAGUGUGCGUGGCCAGGGGAUUACUGGUGCCAUCCAGAGACAUAUGACAGAUUAUGUCUGCAGUCACUUUCCACAGGUCACUUGCCCGAAGACUGUGCCGAGGAGACGACCCAUCGUCUGAAAAACUGUCCAGAUAUCGCCUGUUGGCCAAAGAGGGCAUUCUUUGUUUGUUUUGUGAGGUAGGUGAAAUAGGACCUUUACUUGAGGAACUACAACAGAGACUCGAACAAGAGUACAAGGCUGAGGCCUUCAACCCAGUGACUCUGAGCCAAGCAGAGGAAGAAAAAGCAGUGCUGAGCACAAAUGUGGUUGCAAACCUACUGCCUGGUGGAGGCCAACCUGGAAGUGCUUCACAGGAAGGGGCUGACCUGGGUAGAGACUGCCCACUCAGGCCCAAUGCCCUCAGUCUCUGCACCAUACCAUACCCAGUGCCCUACCGCCACGUUGCCCUCCAUUUUAACAACAUCUUUGGUCACAGCCUUGAUUCAGUCUGUGCUGUGUUCCUGGCACAGCUUAGAAACCUGCUCUCAUGCUUGAGUGGAUAUCUCAUCUUCUAUACCUAUGUGCACCCCAGUAUCUGGCCUGGGCUAAAGCAGUUUUGUCAGAACUCUUCCAAUGUCAUGUUCUUCAAGGAUUAUUGGGAGGAGCUUUUGGUGGAGACGGACCUUUAACAAUAUCUGGAGCUGGAGGGAACACAAUGUGUCGUUGAGCAUUCAUGGUCAUAUAAUAACGCCAUAAAUUCAAAAGCUAUAUCUACAUGCUGAAUUCAAAAGCUAUAUCUACAUGCUGAAUUCCAAACCAGGCCUUUAGCCAAAAUGUCAGACAAUGUAUUUAAUAUAUUCAUGUCCUUUAUACUGUAUAUUGUGUUUUAUGGUUUAUUUGUAUUAUGAUUUUAUUAUGGCAAAUAUAAACUGUUGUCUGUCUAAAUAGGAUCUCCUGCAAAAUAGGGCAGUUUUAUAUGACUCAUGGUACUCUGUUUUUCUAUUUUUUUAUACAAGGCAAGGUUUGUCUGUUUAUGAUCUCACAUGAUCUCACCUCAUAAGAACUGGGUUGUAGCAUCAGCAAUUUCUGCCUCUCUCAAUAAAUACAUUAAAUUGUG